rnacentral:rRNA from 1 species
GAUGAACGCUAGCGGCAGGCCUAACACAUGCAAGUCGAGGGGUGGCCUCGAGAGCUUGCUCUUGGGUGAUCAGUGGCGAACGGGUGAGUAACACGUGAGUAACCUGCCCCAGACUCUGGAAUAACCCCGGGAAACCGGAGCUAAUACCGGAUACGAGACGGAGUCGCAUGGCUACCGUCUGGAAAGUUUUUCGGUCUGGGAUGGACUCGCGGCCUAUCAGCUUGUUGGUGAGGUAACGGCUCACCAAGGCGACGACGGGUAGCCGGCCUGAGAGGGCGACCGGCCACACUGGGACUGAGACACGGCCCAGACUCCUACGGGAGGCAGCAGUGGGGAAUAUUGCACAAUGGGCGAAAGCCUGAUGCAGCGACGCCGCGUGAGGGAUGACGGCCUUCGGGUUGUAAACCUCUUUCAGCAGGGAAGAAGCGAAAGUGACGGUACCUGCAGAAGAAGCACCGGCUAACUACGUGCCAGCAGCCGCGGUAA